rnacentral:lncRNA from 1 species
GGCCCUUUCCCUGGCACGGAGUCACUCAAGCUCUUGGGAAGGGAAUGGCUUCAUUUUAGCCAAAGGUCCCGGUUCAAGGUGAAAGGCCAAACUGCAGGAACCGUUCACAUUGAGAAGAAGGGGGCCCAUUCUGGGCACGGGCAGGUGGGCACAGGACGGGGUCACGGCCACGUCAGACACUCUGUGUGUGGGGGUGAGGGGGAUAAGACCCUGGGAAGCGGGGCACUCGAGUGGGAGCCAGAGUGUGUGUCUCUCUCACUUCGGCCCCAGGAGCCUCUGGCCCCGCUCCAGGUAUGCAGCGACCGAGAGCAGCAGGGACACGGCUGGGGAGGGGUCCAGGGGCAGGUUUUAAGGUGCACACGUCCUGAGGUGUGUGUGCAGCCUGGCGACCGCAGUGCAGACACGGAGCUGCAUAUUCAAAAGCUGCUAAGAGAGUAGGACAACCUAGACAGCAUAUUAAAAAGCAGAGCCAUUACUUUAACAACAAAGGUCUGUCUGAUCAAGGCUAUGGUUUUUCCAGGAGUCGUGUACGGAUGUGAGAGUUGGACUAUAAAGAAAGCUGAGUGCAGAAAAAUUGAUGC